rnacentral:rRNA from 1 species
AUUGAACGCUGGCGGCAUGCUUAAUACAUGCAAGUCGAGCGAGCGGCGGACGGGUGAGUAAUGUCUGGGACCCUGCCUGAUGGAGGGGGAUAACUACUGGAAACGGUAGCUAAUACCGCAUACCAUCAGUUGUGCCCAGAUGGGAUUAUCUAGUAGGUGGGGUAAUGGCUCACCUAGGCGACGAUCCCUAGCCGGUCUGAGAGGAUGACCGGCCACACUGGAACUGAGACACGGACCAGACGCCUACGGGAGGCAGCAGUGGGGAAGAUUGGACAAUGGAGGAAAGCCUGAUGCAGCAAUGCCGCGUGUGUGAAGAAGGCCUUCGGGUUGUAAAGCACUUUCAGCGAGGAGGCGGUACUCACAGAGGAAGCAACGGCUAACUCCGUGCCAGCAGCCGCGGUAAUAC